GCGCGCCGCCCCGGAAGCCCCUUCUCCGCCCGGGCCUCGCGCGAGCGCCUUGGCUGCUCUCUGUGGCCUUCCGCGGUGGGUCAGCUCAGGGCAGCCGCAACUUCUCACAUGCCGCAAUUGCCUUUCGCCUCCACGCUCCUAUUGCACACCUGCGUCGGCCCCCGCCUUUCUAGGGGUCAGAGCCCAGUUUUGAAUGCUGGAAGUCCAAAAUUAAGGUGUCAUUGAACUUGGUUCCUGCUGAAGGCUCUGAGGAAGGAACUGUUCCAUGCCUCUCUCCUAGCUUCAGAUGCUUGCCAGCGGUCUGCAGUGUUCCCUGUGUUCAGGUUUCAGUGUUCUUGGAAAGGAAUUUUCAGAAUUCUGGGUCUGAAAGAAAUGUCUUAUUGCAACUCCUGCUACUCGAAAUGUAAUCCUAACCAACCUCCUGUGUCAGAUCACACUGUGAGAAGCCUCUGGAGUAGGAGUGUGGGUGGCGCUCUCUGCCCAAGAAUUCCUGGCACUGGAGUUCCAGGGAGAGGACCCUUAUGCAAGUAAUGCAAGUACAAAUGCCGCGUGACUCCAUGCCUUGAGGCAGAGGCUCUCCAUUUGCUUCUGUCCCUGUCCACCUUGUGCCCUAUUUUCCUGUUUCUUAAAACUGUUUUUCUCUCAGUACACUGAUCAUGGUGAGCACUGAGUAAUAUGUGGAAGUGCUGAAUCACUCGCUUCUACACCUGAGACUACUAUCACACCAUAU